AGCUCCAAUAGCGUAUAUUAAAGUUGUUGCAGUUAAAAAGCUCGUAGUUGGAUUUCUGGUAGGAGGGACCGGUCAGAUCAUUGAUCUGUACUUGUGUCCUCUCCCGCCAUCUUUGGGUGGAUCCUUUCUGGCAUUAAGUUGUCGGGAAGGGGAUGCCCAUCUUUUACUGUGAAAAAAUUAGAGUGUUCAAAGCAGACUUAUGUCAUUGAAUAUAUUAGCAUGGAAUAAUAAGAUAGGGCUUCAGUACUAUUUUGUUGGUUUGCGUACCGAGGUAAUGAUUGACAGGGACAGUUGGGGGUAUUCGUAUUCAGUAUUCAGUGGUGAAAUACUUAGAUCUACGGAAGACGAACUACUGCGAAAGCAUUUACCAAGGAUGUUUUCAUUAAUCAAGAACGAAAGU
rnacentral:rRNA from 1 species